rnacentral:rRNA from 1 species
AAUCAACGCUGGCGGCGUGCCUCAGACAUGCAAGUCGAACGCGAAAGUCCCCUUCGGGGGACGAAGUAGAGUGGCGCACGGGUGAGUAACACGUAGGUAAUCUACCUUCGGAUGGGGAAGUAACAACCGGAAACGGUUGCUAAUACCGCAUAAUGCAGCGGCACCUAAUGGUGACAGUUGUUAAAGCGGGGGAGUCAAAGACCUCGCGUCUGAAGAGGAGCCUGCGGCGGAUUAGCUA